GACUUCAGGUAAUCCACCCUCCUCAGCCUCCCAAAGUGCUGGGAUUAUAGGCGUGAGCCACCGUGCCCAGCUGGUAGUUGGUAUUUUUUGCAAUCAAAAUGGUCUUGUAAUCAAAUUAAGUGCUGGGAAAGCAAGAUAUAAGAUGAGAUUUAUUUGUUCUCCAUCAUCGAAUAAGAUUUAAAAUGUGUUAAAUGUUUCUCUUAGGAGCAACCUGAGGAGGUGCUACCAUGUCUUCAAGAUGACUUGGGAAUAUUUUCUAGAAAGAAAAAACUCCUGUCCAUAUCUCUGACAACUGAGGAAGAGGCCUUGCCAGUUUCAUCCAGAUUUGGAUUUGGAGGAUGAAGGCUCUCAAAGUGAAUCAAAGGAUCCAUGACAGCUUCCCAGAGCGCACAGAGAAGUCUAACCAGGACCUCAAUUAAUUCAUAAGGAUCUUACUGUGUUGUCCAGGCUAGAGUGCAGUGGCGUGAUCACAGCUCAGUGCAACCUC